UGCAUAGCAGGGGCCAAAUGCUA
rnacentral:siRNA from 1 species